AGAUUGAACGCUGGCGGCAUGCCUUACACAUGCAAGUCGAACGGCAGCACGGGAGCAAUCCUGGUGGCGAGUGGCGAACGGGUGAGUAAUACAUCGGAACGUGCCCAAUCGUGGGGGAUAACGCAGCGAAAGCUGUGCUAAUACCGCAUAAGAUCUACGGAUGAAAGCAGGGGAUCGCAAGACCUUGCGCGAAUGGAGCGGCCGAUGGCAGAUUAGGUAGUUGGUGAGGUAAGGCUCACCAAGCCUUCGAUCUGUAGCUGGUCUGAGAGGACGACCAGCCACGACGUCGGGACUAGGAGACCGACCGGACCCAGACCUACCGUACGGGAGGCCAGCGACGGGUGGGGUAAUUUU
rnacentral:rRNA from 1 species